AUAUAUAUAUAUUUAUAUACAUAUAUAUAUAUACAUAUGCAAUAAUAAUAAUACUAAUAAUAAACAACAAUAAUAAUAAUAACAAGAUCGUAUAUAUACGACGAAACUGUACCAAUGAUUGACAGAGCUCUAACAAUGACUCCCACGACAAACGGCCCUGGCGCUUAGUCAAGGUCACGGACGUAUGUACGUAUAUACAUACAUACGUCUAAAAAUAUAAUUUCGUCGGUAACACACAAAAAAAAAGAAAAGAAAACUCCAAUUCCAAAACAAAAACAAACAAACAAACAAACAAUCCAAAAACACGUGCAGAAUCAAAAUCAUAAGCUGUUUAAAUCAAUAAAUAAAUAAGUAAACAAACGAAUGAAAAAAAAAGAAGAAUUCCUUUUCAUGCAAAUAAAGAAAGAAAAAAAAUGAAGGAAGAAAGAAAGAAAGAAAGAAAGAAAGAAAGAAAGGAAAAAAAAUAUAUGAAGAGAUGAAAUAAAACACGUAAGUUAAGCCGAUAUUAUAUCGAGCUCGUGUUAAAAUUUGUUUCCUUUUUAUAUUUCAUGUUCGAUGGGAACACAGAGAGAAGGCGAGGGGAGGUUGAGAGGGCGAGAGGUAUCGAGAUGGGUGGAUGGGUGGAUAAGAGGAGAAGUGGUGGUGGUCGCGGGGGGUGAGCGGGCCGGAAGAGGGUGGUAGAAGCCGACAGAGGUGCGAACGGCACGCGACUCACCGCACGCACGCAUUGAUUGAUUUAUACGCCGUAUAUGGUAGACCUCUUCGAAAAAUUUGUUCUCAAUCGAUAUUUUCGAAAAUACUUGUUAUUAUUAUUAUUAUUAUUGUUGUUGUUGUUGUUGUUAUUUAUUAAUUAAUUUUUCGUUCGAUAUUCGAAGGUUAUGUUAAAAGUUCGUUGACUUUAAUAUCUUUCAGAUUGUUGGAAAUAUUUUUGUUCUUUCGCACGUAGCAUAUGUAGAGAGAAAGAGAGAGAGAAAGACAUAGAUCAGAUUUUGGAGGUUAUGAAUAUCUUUGGAGAAUUGAUAGCACGAAAGGUGUUACGUAACUUCCCAAAAACGCGUUUGGGUGUCGGUCGAAUGACGCAGUUAUCGUUAUCAUGUUAUUCUCUUAUUUUCCUUUUUUACUUCGAUCAUUGUUCAAGAUACAAAAAUCUCGCCAAAAUUUCGCUUGUUUCAAUAAUUAAUAAUAAUCGUUUACUGUAAUUGGUCAAGAAAUUUUUCAAUAUUUAUAAUUAUGUUUUCUUGAAAAUCAAUACACAUAUAUACAUACAAUAUGUGUGUGUGUAUAUAUAUGUAUGUAUGUAUAUAUGUAUGUAGUGAUGCAAUCUCGGCCUGAAAAUGAGAAUCUUUUUUAUUAUUAUUAUUUCCUUUUUUUUUAAAUCACAUAUGGACGCUGAUAACGUCGUCAUUGUCGAAGAUAACGAAACAAUUUUUUGGUAUCAUCUAGAUAAAAUCGUUUAAUGAGUUCGAGAGUUCGUACAAUUAGUAAGAAUUUUUAGUUCAUAUAUAUAUAUAUGUUUAUACAUAUAUAUAUAUAUAUAUAUAUACACAUAUAUGUAUGUAUGUAUAUGAAGUAUAUAUAAUUAUGAGAAAAAAUAUUUUGAUAUUUCGCCGAUAACAUUUUUCAGUAUCAUUAUAUCUUCAUUUUCUUUUUUUUCCAGAUAAGAGAAAGCUGUCCAUGUACGCAUAUCAGUAAUAUCGAAAUUGUUAAAAACUUGUUGAGAAAAUAAUUCCUUCAAAUUUAUUCUUUUAUUUAUUAUAUAAACGACGACGUAUAUUAAUCGAGGUAUAUUGUUAAAGAAUAAAAAAAAAAAAAAAAUAAUUGAAAAAUUGUUCGGAAAAAAAUGUUCGUUUAAUAAAAAGAAAAAAUAUAUGUAACUCGUCUAACA